rnacentral:misc_RNA from 1 species
UCCUCCGCUUAUUGAUAUGCUUAAGUUCAGCGGGUAUCCCUACCUGAUCCGAGGUCAACCUGGUUAAAGAAUGGUUGGUUGCGAGGCUGGCCGCCGGCUGGACCUACGGGAGCGGGUGACAAAGCCCCAUACGCUCGAGGACCAGACACGGUGCCGCCGCUGCCUUUCGGGCCCGUCCCAGGGACCAGAAGUUCCCGGGACGGUGGCCCAACACACAAGCCGUGCUUGAGGGCAGCAAUGACGCUCGGACAGGCAUGCCCCCCGGAAUACCAGGGGGCGCAAUGUGCGUUCAAAGAUUCGAUGAUUCACUGAAUUCUGCAAUUCACAUUACUUAUCGCAUUUCGCUGCGUUCUUCAUCGAUGCCAGAACCAAGAGAUCCGUUGUUAAAAGUUUUAAUUUAUUAAUUAAGUUUACUCAGACUGCAAAGUUACGCAAGAGUUUGAAGUGUCCACCCGGAGCCCCCGCCCGAAGGCAGGGUCGCCCCGGAGGCAACAGAGUCGGACAACAAAGGGUUAUGAAUAACCAGGCCGAAGCCCGGGCGUUCUUGUAAUGAUCCCUCCGCAGGUUCACCUACGGA